rnacentral:rRNA from 1 species
CCUACGGGUGGCAGCAGUGAGGAAUAUUGGUCAAUGGACGGAAGUCUGAACCAGCCAUGCCGCGUGCAGGAAGACGGCUCUAUGAGUUGUAAACUGCUUUUGUACAAGGGUAAACCUGAAUACGUGUACUCAGCUGCAUGUACUGUACGAAUAAGGAUCGGCUAACUCCGUGCCAGCAGCCGCGGUAAUACGGAGGAUCCAAGCGUUAUCCGGAUUUAUUGGGUUUAAAGGGUGCGUAGGCGGAUUGAUAAGUUAGAGGUGAAAGGUCGGGGCUUAACUCUGGAACUGCCUUUGAUACUGUGGAUCUAGAGUGUAGAUGAGGUAGGCGGAAUUUAUGGUGUAGCGGUGAAAUGCUUAGAUAUCAUGCAGAACACCGAUUGCGAAGGCAGCUUACCAAUCUAUAUCUGACGUUGAGGCACGAAAGCGUGGGGAGCAAACAGGAUUAGAUACCCUUGUAGUC